GACAAAACCUGUUGUCAUUAAGGCUAUUGUUGAGAGUGUUACAGAGAACAAAUUCUCCUUUGAGAUUGGAAAAUUAUGACUUUAAAGAAAGAAAGAAGGUUUGCAUUUUCCAAAUAUAAUGGCAUCAGUUACACUACUCUCCUUACUAUAUUAUGGCUCUGGCUGGUGCUUAGUGUAUACACAACAAAAGCGACAGAGAACACAACUGCACCUACAUUGACUACAACUCUAACAAGUACAAUUCAGGAACCAAAAACUAUAAAGGAAACAACACCCGUUCCAACAGUGCAAGCCACUAAAACACCAACAGAUUUUACCACUACAACUAUAUACAUAACAGAAACAACAACAACAACAGCACCUACAACAGCAAAAACAACAUCACUGACAACUACUACUACUCCACCAAUUACAACUCAGGAACCAACCACUACAAAGGAAACAACCUCAGCUGGAAUUGUACAAUCGACCACAAAAUCAACAUCAGAAUUGACCACUACAACAGUAUACACAACACAAAGUCAAACAACCACAGCACCAACAACAGCAGAAACAACUGCACCCUCAACUACUACAACUCCGAAAAGUACAAUUCAGGAAGCAACAACUAUAAAGGAAACAACAACCGUUCCAACUGUGCCAUCCACUACAACAUCAACAGAUUUUACCACUACAUCUAUAUACAUAACAGAAACAACAACAACAACAACAGCACCUACAACAGCAGAAACAACAUCAUUGACAACUACUACCACUCCACCAAGUACAACUAAGGAACCAACCACUACAGA